rnacentral:rRNA from 1 species
AUUGAACGCUGGCGGCAGGCCUAACACAUGCAAGUCGAGCGGAUGAAGGGAGCUUGCUCCUGGAUUCAGCGGCGGACGGGUGAGUAAUGCCUAGGAAUCUGCCUGGUAGUGGGGGAUAACGUCCGGAAACGGGCGCUAAUACCGCAUACGUCCUGAGGGAGAAAGUGGGGGAUCUUCGGACCUCACGCUAUCAGAUGAGCCUAGGUCGGAUUAGCUAGUUGGUGGGGUAAAGGCCUACCAAGGCGACGAUCCGUAACUGGUCUGAGAGGAUGAUCAGUCACACUGGAACUGAGACACGGUCCAGACUCCUACGGGAGGCAGCAGUGGGGAAUAUUGGACAAGGGGCGAAAGCCUGAUCCAGCCAUGCCGCGUGUGUGAAGAAGGUCUGCGGAUUGUAAAGCACUUUAAGUUGGGAGGAAGGGCAGUAAGUUAAUACCUUGCUGUUUUGACGUUACCAACAGAAUAAGCACCGGCAAACUUCGU